rnacentral:rRNA from 1 species
AUUGAACGCUGGCGGCAGGCCUAACACAUGCAAGUCGAGCGGCAGCACGGGAAGCUUGCUUCCUGGUGGCGAGCGGCGGACGGGUGAGUAAUGCAUAGAAAUCUGCCCGGUAGUGGGGGAUAACCUGGGGAAACCCAGGCUAAUACCGCAUACGUCCUACGGGAGAAAGCAGGGGAUCUUCGGACCUUGCGCUAUCGGAUGAGUCUAUGUCGGAUUAGCUUGUUGGUGAGGUAAUGGCUCACCAAGGCGACGAUCCGUAGCUGGUCUGAGAGGAUGAUCAGCCACAUCGGGACUGAGACACGGCCCGAACUCCUACGGGAGGCAGCAGUGGGGAAUAUUGGACAAUGGGCGAAAGCCUGAUCCAGCCAUGCCGCGUGUGUGAAGAAGGCCUUCGGGUUGUAAAGCACUUUCAGUGGGGAAGAAAGCCUUGGGGCUAAUACCCUCGAGGAAGGACAUCACCCACAGAAGAAGCACCGGCUAACUCCGUGCCAGCAGCCGCGGUAAUACGGAGGGUGCGAGCGUUAAUCGGAAUUACUGGGCGUAAAGCGCGCGUAGGCGGUCUGAUAAGCCGGUUGUGAAAGCCCCGGGCUCAACCUGGGAACGGCAUCCGGAACUGUCAGGCUAGAGUGCAGGAGAGGAAGGUAGAAUUCCCGGUGUAGCGGUGAAAUGCGUAGAGAUCGGGAGGAAUACCAGUGGCGAAGGCGGCCUUCUGGACUGACACUGACGCUGAGGUGCGAAAGCGUGGGUAGCAAACAGGAUUAGAUACCCUGGUAGUCCACGCCGUAAACGAUGUCGACUAGCCGUUGGGCUCCUUGAGAGCUUUGUGGCGCAGUUAACGCGAUAAGUCGACCGCCUGGGGAGUACGGCCGCAAGGUUAAAACUCAAAUGAAUUGACGGGGGCCCGCACAAGCGGUGGAGCAUGUGGUUUAAUUCGAUGCAACGCGAAGAACCUUACCUACCCUUGACAUCGUGCGAACUUUCCAGAGAUGGAUUGGUGCCUUCGGGAACGCACAGACAGGUGCUGCAUGGCUGUCGUCAGCUCGUGUUGUGAAAUGUUGGGUUAAGUCCCGUAACGAGCGCAACCCUUGUCCUUAUUUGCCAGCGAGUAAUGUCGGGAACUCUAAGGAGACUGCCGGUGACAAACCGGAGGAAGGUGGGGACGACGUCAAGUCAUCAUGGCCCUUACGGGUAGGGCUACACACGUGCUACAAUGGCCGGUACAAAGGGUUGCGAAGCCGCGAGGUGGAGCUAAUCCCGAAAAGCUGGUCUCAGUCCGGAUCGGAGUCUGCAACUCGACUCCGUGAAGUCGGAAUCGCUAGUAAUCGUGAAUCAGAAUGUCACGGUGAAUACGUUCCCGGGCCUUGUACACACCGCCCGUCACACCAUGGGAGUGGACUGCACCAGAAGUGGUUAGCCUAACUUCGGAGGGCGAUCACCACGGUGUGGUUCAUGACUGGGGUGAAGUCGUAACAAGGUAGCCGUA